ensembl:lncRNA
GAAGCAGCGUAGAGUAUAAACCAACACAUUCCAUGCUGUCUGUCAGUUGGUUCUUCUUCUCUGGUUUUGGAAGCAGCGUAGAGUAUAAACCAACACAUUCCAUGCUGUCUGUCAGUUGGUUCUUCUUCUCUGGUUUUGGAAGCAGCGUAGAGUAUACACCAACACAUUCCAUGCUGUCUGUCAGUUGGUUCUUCUUCUCUGGUUUUGGAAGCAGCGUAGAGUAUACACCAACACAUUCCAUGCUGUCUGUCAGUUGGUUCUUCUUCUCUGGUUUUGGAAGCAGCGUAGAGUAUACACCAACACAUUCCAUGCUGUAUGUCAGUUGGUUCUUCUUCUCUGGUUUUGGAAGCAGCGUAGAGUAUACACCAACACAUUCCAUGCCGUCUGUCAGUUGGUUCUUCUUCUCUGGUUUUGGAAGCAGCGUAGAGUAUACACCACCACAUUCCAUGCUGUCUGUCAGUUGGUUCUUCUUCUCUGGUUUUGGAAGCAGGGUAGAGUAUACACCAACACAUUCCAUGCUGUCUGUCAGUUGGUUCUUCUUCUCUGGUUUUGGAAGCAGCGUAGAGUAUACACCAACACAUUCCAUGCGGUCUGUCAGUUGGUUCUUCUUCUCUGGUUUUGGAAGCAGCGUAGAGUAUACACCAACACAUUCCAUGCUGUCUGUCAGUUGGUUGUCUCUCUCAAAAAAGGUGUUGAACACAAGCAGAUCUGGGAUCCAGGCUACCAACCUGCCUUGUGCUUCCUGCUGUCUAACACUUCAUGAUAGACGGACCGACGCUUCAUUAAUUCUACUCUGUCCACCAGCACAGCAUUUAAACUGCUUUUAUUUUGACAAACAAACGGGGCACUGAGCCUGGGGGACGAGGUGUCGUCUCUAGUCACUGAGCCUGGGGGACGAGGUGUCAUCUCUAGUCACCGAGCCUGGGGGACGGGGUGUCGUCUCUAGUCACUGAGCCUGGGGAUGAGGUGUUGUCUCUAGUCACUGAGCCUGGGGAUGAGGUGUUGUCUCUAGUCACCGAGCCUGGGGAUGAGGUGUUGUCUCUAGUCACUGAGCCUGGGGAUGAGGUGUCAUCUCUAGUCACCGAGCCUGGGGGACGAGGUGUCGUCUCUAGUCACUGAGCCUGGGGAUGAGGUGUCGUCUCUAGUCACUGAGCUUGGGGAUGAGGUUAGUGGAGGUGUUAUGCAAUCAUGAAGCGGGUUUUACCAACAUCAAAAGCUUUGGUUUCUGUUCAUCUGUUGGCUCUACUUUACAUAGACACCUUAUGCAACCAUGGAUUUAUACAGGAAGUCUUCCAUAGACCUACCAAUUCUUAGCCUGGCCCCAGAUCUGUUUCUACUGUCUAGCCAAAUCCUAAAUAGUGUUUGACAUGACAAUGACCAUAAGAGUUGGAUAUACAAACUAAUCUGAGUAUAGGCUAACAAAGCCCUACUCUGUGAACUAACUGGAGUCUGGUGGGCGUAUGGGGUGGACGGGUGGGCGUAUGGGGUGGUUGUUUGGGCGUAUAAAGCAAACGUCUUGGAACCAUUGCGACUUUGCAACUACUUAACAUGUUAGCUAACCCUUCCUCUAAAAUCAAAUCAAAAAAUCUAAUUUAUUUAUAAAAUCAAAUGUAUUUAUAUAGCCCUUCGUACAUCAGCUGAUAUCUCAAAGUGCUGUACAGAAACCCAGCCUAAAGCCCCAAACAGCAAGCAAUGCAGGUGUAGAAGCUCUAAUCUUAACAUGUUAGCUAACCCUUCCCCUUUAACGUAACUCCUAAACUAACUGUCAGCCAUCUAACUAGAAUUCGUAACAUAUCAUACGUUUUACAAAUUUGUUACAAUAUUGUACGUUUGGCAAAUUCGUAACAUACAAAAUGAAUACAUACGAAACAUAACAUAUCAUACCAAAUGGAGUGUCUCGGAUUUACAUAUAGAAUACUAGGAAAUGAUCUGAGACCAGGUUAUGGAACAAGGUACUAGACUAUCUUCAGACCAGGGCAGACCAGGGACUAUGAAAUACUCCCCCCACCGUUAACAAGCGCAUUACACUCUAUUUCGUCAUCCAGAUAAGGUCAGUGUAUGAAUUGAUAUUUAUCACUGUACCAUGCUUGUUCAGUGUUAUUUAUUACAUUUUUAAAAACUAACUGGCAACAAGUUAAAAAUUAUUAGUAUUUUUAAGAUGCUCAUUGAAAUAUUUAGCAAAUCACUAAGGAUCAAGGUUCAUUUGUGUACUUGUGUUAAUAUUUGCAACUACUGCACCAAGCUAAAUGACACAUUUACAUUCAGGGACAAGUUGGUUCAUCUUGACCCUCCGCUGUUAGUUACUGAUUGACUGGGGACCUGAUAUGAGUGAUGUUUUGUAACAAAGAUCCUUGCUGUCUUUUUCAAAAAGCGAUUUAUCAACUACAGUAUGUACAGUGGCAGAGCUGAGCUUUGGGAACGUUACACGUGUCACAUGGAAAGCAGUGGCAUAGUGGUGUUAAGUAACUUCACAGUAUAUUUUAGAAGCCUGAGUGUUGGACAUACAGGAUGGUAUAUUUUAGAAGCCUGAGUGUUGGACAUACAGGAUGAUCAUGGUCAGCUGGAAUGGAAUGACCCUAAACAUUGACCCAGAUAAAGGCUCUAUCCCAAAUGGCACCCUAUUCCCUACAUAGUACACUACAUUUAACCAGAGCCCUGUGGUCACAAGUAGUGUACUUUGACUGCUUGCAUCCCAAAUAGCACCCUAUCUUCUACUAUCUCCACGUUAUCGCGUUAUCUAUGAGAACUUACUAACCCUACCCUCCCUCUGGUUAUUUUCCCCACGUAGUACUGCCUGACUCACUCACAGCCUGUGACUAAAUCAAUGGCUUCACUAGCUGCUGAGGCUCAGUGACAUCACAAUGGCAGGUUGUGUUCUAAAUGGCUUCCCCUCACUAGCUGCUGAGGCUCAGUGACAUCACAAUGGCAGGUUGUGUUCUAAAUGGCUUCCCCUCACUAGCUGCUGAGGCUCAGUGACAUCACAAUGGCAGGUUGUGUUCUAAAUGGCUUCCCCUCACUAGCUGCUGAGGCUCAGUGACAUCACAAUGGCAGGUUGUGUUCUAAAUGGCUUCCCCUCACUAGCUGCUGAGGCUCAGUGACAUCACAAUGUCAGGGCUGUGUUCUAAAUGGCUUCCCCUCACUAGCUGCUGAGGAUCAGUGACAUCACAAUGGCAGGGUGUGUUCUAAAUGACACCCUCUUUCCUAUAUAUAGUGUACUACUUUUCAACAGGGCCCAUAGGGCUAUAGUCAAAAGUAUUGCACCACAUAAGGAAAAGGGUGCAAUUUUGGAUGCAGUGUAUGUAUGAGGACAUUCAGUCCCCAAUGACAACCUCAGUCCAUCCAAGCCCUUCACAGCAUCUCUCCACACACACACAGACUUAGACCAACAAAGAAGUCUCCUGGUCUCAGUGUAGUGGACUACAGAGCUAAAUAGGAAGGGGGGUUGAGGGUUGAGUCCCAAAUGGGUACCCUAGUCACAGAGACGGAGAUAUAUCAAACGAUCAACAGGGACUGCUGGCCGCCACCACCUGAUCAUUGAGGUAAAUUGAGCAUGGAAGGGUCUGCUGAUGAUCACUUCCAUUUUAUACUGAACAAAAAAAUGUAUGCAACGUGUUGGUCCCAUGUUUAAUGAGCUGAAAUAAACGAUCCCAGAAAUGUUCCAUUCGCACAAAAAGCUUUUUUUCUCUCUUAACAUUUUCUGCCCAAAUUUGUUUC